AACAACCAAUUGACCAUCCAAUACCAAUCCCAAUGCCAAUACUAGUACCAAUGCUAACACUAAUACCAAUACAACCCAUGCCCAUAGUAGUCCAACAAAUCCUCUAACCAUAAUCACAGAAUAUCCAGUCGGGACAUGCCCCCGACCAUAGACAAAACAAAAACCAAAGAGAUAAAAAGUAUAUAAAGAAGUCCAUAGCA
rnacentral:lncRNA from 1 species